rnacentral:misc_RNA from 1 species
GAUGAAGAACGUAGCGAAAUGCGAUAAGUAAUGUGAAUUGCAGAAUUCAGUGAAUCAUCGAAUCUUUGAACGCACAUUGCGCCCCCUGGUAUUCCGGGGGGCAUGCCUGUCCGAGCGUCAUUAUAACCCCUCAAGCUCAGCUUGGUGUUGGGGCCUGCUGCACUGGCAGCCCUUAAAAUCAGUGGCGGCGCCAUCUGGCUCUAAGCGUAGUAAUUCUUCUCGCUAUGGAGUCCUGGUGGAUGCUUGCCAUCAACCCCCAAUUUUUCUAUGGUUGACCUCGGAUCAGGUAGGGAUACCCGCUGAACUUAAGCAUAUCAAUAAGCGGAGGA